rnacentral:tRNA from 2 species
GGAGAGAUGGCCGAGAGGCUUAAGGCGCACGCCUGGAAAGCGUGUUCACAGAAAUGUGUCGGGGGUUCGAAUCCCCCUCUCUCCG